CAAAGUGCGAGGGCUUUGCCGUAGUUGGAUGCCUGUCUUGUUGUUACCAUGCGAAGGACAAUCUAAUGUGCCGGGAUGUUUGUGAACAGGUAAACAAAACUGUACAUGCUACUAUAAACAAAAGUGUAACACUGAGUUGAAGAACUGUUAAAACUUUAUGGUAAGAAACAGUUACCAAACUUGGCCACUGUAUUGAGAUAGCGUUUGGAAUAAUCUGUUCAAUUUUUCUUUUAUUUCACCAACUUGAAGUUCCUAUUAGCUCUCUACUAAGAAGUACCCUUUCCAAACCAGAAAGCCAUCCAUCUUUCCUUAAAUCUCUGGAGAGAUCAUAGGCAGAGUCCUGGAACACAUUUCUUUCUGAUCAUGUGAAGGGUAAAGUCAUGCCUGACAGACUUCAUUGCUAUUGAUAAUAAAAUAGCUAGAUUUCUGGGUGAGGGUAAAUAAGUGGAUGUCAUUUGCAUUGACUUUAAAGGUUUCAACACUCAAUAUUUUUGUAUCCAUUUUAGCAUAUUAUAGCUUUGAUGGAUAGACAGUUAGAGGACUGAAAAUUUGUUUGAAUAAUCGGGUUCAGAGAAGAGAAGUUAAUAGGUCAUACUUUAUCUGCAGGGCAAUAAGAAGUGGAAUACCAAAGGAAUCUGUACUGGGAUGUGUCCUGUUUAUCAUCUUUAUUAAUGACAUGGAGGAGGCAGUUGAUUCACUCUUGUUGAGUUCUCAGUUGAUACCAAACUGGGAAGAAGAACUGAUAAUCUCAAAAGAAAGACUACCAUCCAGAGCAGCCUGGAUGAAGUCUAUGAAACUCAGCAAGGACAAAUGCAAAGUCCUGCACCUGGAAAUAAUUACUUACAGCAAUACAGGUUGGAGAUUGAUAUACUGGAGAGCAGGUUUGUUGAAAAGGAUCCAGUGGUGUUAGUAUACUGAUAGCAAGUUGAAUGAGAGCCACUGUGCCUUGGCAGAAAAGAGGAUAGCCUGGGAUAUUUUAACAGGAGCACAAUCAGCAUUUCUAAAGAAAUUACUAUCUCCAGAAUUUGUUAUGCCAUAUCUAGAAUACAGCGUCCAGUUUUGGGCCACGCUGUUACAAGGAAGACAUCAGUUAACUGGAGAAAGGUGCACUGAGAUGAUCAUGGAGCAGAUGCCAUGUGUGGGGAAGCUGAGGUAACUGGUUUUAGCAGGGGAGGAAGGAGUACAUCAGCAGCCUUUUGAUACCUGUAAAACGUUGUUCAGGAUGUAGAGCCAGGCUCUUCACAGUAGUCCUUAGUGGGAGGCUGAGAGAACAGGCAUAGAUUAAAAGCAAAGAAUUCUAGCUGGUUAUAAAGUAAAAGUUCUCCACUAUAAGGACAGAAGAGUGUCUGUGCAUUCUUUGUCCUUGUGUGUUUUCAAGAUCUGACUGAGCAACAUGGUCUGACAUCAUGACCCUGCAGGUGACCCUGCUCUGAGCUGGAGGUGGAAAUAAAUUAUUUUCUGAAAUCCCUUCACAUCUGAAUUAUUUUAUUCUUCUAUGACCCUAAAAGACACCAAAUGCUACUGCAGUUCUUUCCUUGCUAUC